rnacentral:rRNA from 1 species
UACGUAGGCAGCAAGCGUUGUUCGGAGUUACUGGGCGUAAAGGGUGUGUAGGCGGUUCUUUAAGUUUGGUGUGAAAUCUCCCGGCUUAACCGGGAGGGUGCGCCGAAUACUGAGGGACUAGAGUACGGGAGAGGAAAGUGGAAUUCCUGGUGUAGCGGUGAAAUGCGUAGAUAUCAGGAGGAACACAGGUGGUGUAGACGGCUUUCUGGACCGUAACUGACGCUGAGACACGAAAGCGUGGGUAGCAAACAGG